rnacentral:lncRNA from 1 species
UUAAGAUAUUGGGAAAUUACCACAAAUACCACAUUCAUAGUACCACUUUUCAUGUUUACACUAACCACUUUUACCCUCACUUUUAAUGAAGGAUAAAAUACAAUUAUACCCCUAGGGUUAACUAAUCUAGACUUAGGGUUUAGAGUUGAUGGGUUAGGGUAGGGUUUUUGAAAUAUGAAAUUUAUGAUUCUAAUAAAUAUAUAAAUACUUAAAAAAUAUAUUAAAAAUAAAAAAAUAGUUUCAAACAUAAUUUUCGUUUUUCAAAAAGAAAUUUGAAAAAAAAAUUAUAAAAAAAGUUCCCAUUUGAAAAAGCAUAAUUCGAAAACA